rnacentral:rRNA from 1 species
GUAACACGUGGGUGAUCUGCCUUGCACUCUGGGAUAAGCCUGGGAAACUGGGUCUAAUACCGGAUAUGACCACUUACUGCAUGGUUUGUGGUGGAAAGAUUUAUCGGUGCGAGAUGGGCCCGCGGCCUAUCAGCUUGUUGGUGGGGUAACGGCCUACCAAGGCGACGACGGGUAGCCGACCUGAGAGGGUGAUCGGCCACACUGGGACUGAGACACGGCCCAGACUCCUACGGGAGGCAGCAGUGGGGAAUAUUGCACAAUGGGCGGAAGCCUGAUGCAGCGACGCCGCGUGAGGGAUGACGGCCUUCGGGUUGUAAACCUCUUUCGACAGGGACGAAGCGCAAGUGACGGUACCUGUAGAAGAAGCACCGGCCAACUACGUGCCAGCAGCCGCGGUAAUACGUAGGGUGCGAGCGUUGUCCGGAAUUACUGGGCGUAAAGAGCUUGUAGGCGGUUUGUCGCGUCGAUUGUGAAAUCUUGCAGCUCAACUGCAAGCCUGCAGUCGAUACGGGCAGACUAGA